GGCGGCGCGCCUAACACAUGCAAGUCGAACGAGCGAGAGAGAGCUUGCUUUCUCGAGCGAGUGGCGAACGGGUGAGUAACGCGUGAGGAACCUGCCUCAAAGAGGGGGACAACAGUUGGAAACUGACUGCUAAUACCGCAUGACCCCACGGGUCGGCAUCGACCAGAGGGAAAAGGAGCAAUCCGCUUUGAGAUGGCCUCGCGUCCGAUUAGCUAGUUGGGGAGGUAGCGGCCCACCAAGGCAACGAUCGGUAGCGGGACUGAGAGGUUGAACGGCCACAUUGGGACUGAGACACGGCCCACACUCCUACGGGAGGCAGCGGUGGGGAAUAUUGCACAAUGGGAGAAACCCUGAGCCAGCGACGCCGCGUGGAGGAAGAAGGUCUUCGGAUUGUAAACUCCUGUUGUUGAGGAAGAUAAUGACGGUACUCAACAAGGAAGUGACGGCUAACUACGUGCCAGCAGCCGCGGUAAAACGUAGGUCACAAGCGUUGUCCGGAAUUACUGGGUGUAAAGGGAGCGCAGGCGGGAAGACAAGUUGGAAGUGAAAUCCAUGGGCUCAACCCAUGAACUGCUUUCAAAACUGUUUUUCUUGAGUAGUGCAGAGGUAGGCGGAAUUCCCGGUGUAGCGGUGGAAUGCGUAGAUAUCGGGAGGAACACCAGUGGCGAAGGCGGCCUACUGGGCACCAACUGACGCUGAGGCUCGAAAGUGUGGGUAGCAAACAGGAUUAGAUACCCUGGUAGUCCACACCGUAAACGAUGAUUACUAGGUGUUGGAGGAUUGGCCCCCUUCAGUGCCGCAGUUAACACAAUAAGUAAUCCCCCUUGGGAGUACGACCGCAAGGUGAAAACUCAAAGGAAUUGACGGGGGCCCGCACAAGCAGUGGAGUAUGUGGUUUAAUUCGACGCAACGCGAAGAACCUUACCAAGUCUUGACAUCCCUUGACGAUGCUGGAAACAGUAUUUCUCUUCGGAGCAAGGAGACAGGUGGUGCAUGGUUGUCGUCAGCUCGUGUCGUGAGAUGUUGGGUUAAGUCCCGCAACGAGCGCAACCCUUAUGGUCAGUUACUACGCAAGAGGACUCUGGCCAGACUGCCGUUGACAAAACGGAGGAAGGUGGGGAUGACGUCAAAUCAUCAUGCCCUUUAUGACUUGGGCUACACACGUACUACGAUGACGUUAAACAAAGAGAAGCAAGACCGCGAGGUGGAGCAAAACUCAGAAACAACGUCCCAGUUCGGACUGCAGGCUGCAACUCGCCUGCACGAAGUCGGAAUUGCUAGUAAUCGUGGAUCAGCAUGCCACGGUGAAUACGUUCCCGGGCCUUGCACUCACAGCCCGUC
rnacentral:rRNA from 1 species